CAAGGAAUAUUGGGCAAUGGACGAAAGCCUGACCCAGCGACACCGCGUGGGGGGAGAAGGUUCUCGGAUCGUAAACCCCUUUUCUCAGGGAAGAUAGUGACGGUACCUGAGGAAUAAGUCUCGGCCAACUACGUGCCAGCAGCCGCGGUAAUACGUAGGAGGCGAACGUUAUCCGGAUUUACUGGGCGUAAAGGGAGCGUAGGCGGUUUCUUAAGUCGGGUGUGAAAUCUCUUGACUCAAUCAGGAGGGGUCAUCCGAUACUGGGUUACUCGAGGGCGGCAGAAGGAAACGGAAUUCCGAGUGUAGCGGUGAAAUGCGUUGAUAUUCGGAAGAACACCAGUGGCGAAGGCGGUUUCCUAGGCUGUUCCUGACGCUGAGGCUCGAAAGCGUGGGGAGCGAAGCG
rnacentral:rRNA from 1 species